UGCAAGUCGAGCGAAUGACGAAGAAGCUUGCUUCUUCUGAUUUAGCGGCGGACGGGUGAGUAACACGUGGGCAACCUGCCCUGUAGAUUGGGAUAACUCCGGGAAACCGGGGCUAAUACCGAAUAAUCCAUUUCCUCACAUGGGGAAAUGUUAAAAGACGGUCUCGGCUGUCACUACAGGAUGGGCCCGCGGCGCAUUAGCUAGUUGGUGAGGUAACGGCUCACCAAGGCGACGAUGCGUAGCCGACCUGAGAGGGUGAUCGGCCACACUGGGACUGAGACACGGCCCAGACUCCUACGGGAGGCAGCAGUAGGGAAUCUUCCACAAUGGACGAAAGUCUGAUGGAGCAAUGCCGCGUGAGUGAAGAAGGUUUUCGGAUCGUAAAACUCUGUUGUGAGGGAAGAACAAGUACGAGAGUAACUGCUCGUACCUUGACGGUACCUCAUUAGAAAGCCACGGCUAACUACGUGCCAGCAGCCGCGGUAAUACGUAGGUGGCAAGC
rnacentral:rRNA from 1 species